rnacentral:rRNA from 1 species
UACGGGGGGGGCAAGCGUUGUUCGGAAUUACUGGGCGUAAAGCGUGCGUAGGUGGUUCGUUAAGUCUGAUGUGAAAGCCCUGGGCUCAACCUGGGAAUGGCAUUGGAAACUGGCGACCUAGAGUGCGGUAGAGGGCAGUGGAAUUCCCGGUGUAGCAGUGAAAUGCGUAGAGAUCGGGAGGAACAUCUGUGGCGAAGGCGACUGCCUGGACCAGCACUGACACUGAGGCACGAAAGCGUGGGGAGCGAACAGG